UGGGGAAUAUUGGACAAUGGGCGCAAGCCUGAUCCAGCCAUGCCGCGUGUGUGAAGAAGGCCUUCGGGUUGUAAAGCACUUUUGUUGGGGAAGAAAUCGUACGAGCGAAUACCUCGUGCGGAUGACGGUACCCAAAGAAUAAGCACCGGCUAACUUCGUGCCAGCAGCCGCGGUAAUACGAAGGGUGCAAGCGUUACUCGGAAUUACUGGGCGUAAAGCGUGCGUAGGCGGUUUGUUAAGUCUGUCGUGAAAGCCCUGGGCUCAACCUGGGAAUUGCGAUGGAUACUGGCAAGCUAGAGUACGGUAGAGGAUGGUGGAAUUCCCGGUGUAGCGGUGAAAUGCGUAGAGAUCGGGAGGAACACCCGUGGCGAAGGCGGCCAUCUGGACCAGUACUGACGCUGAGGCACGAAAGCGUGGGGAGCAAACAGGAUUAGAUACCCGCGUAGUCC
rnacentral:rRNA from 1 species